ACGAACGCUGGCGGCGUGCUUAACACAUGCAAGUCGAGCGGUAAGGCCCUUCGGGGUACACGAGCGGCGAACGGGUGAGUAACACGUGGGUAACCUGCCCUGCACUCUGGGAUAAGCCCGGGAAACUGGGUCUAAUACCGGAUAUGACUCCAUCGCGCAUGUGGUGGGGUGGAAAGUUCUGGCGGUGUGGGAUGGGCCCGCGGCCUAUCAGCUUGUUGGUGGGGUAGUGGCCUACCAAGGCGAUGACGGGUAGCUGGUCUGAGAGGACGAUCAGCCACACGGGGACUGAGACACGGCCCCGACUCCUACGGGAGGCAGCAGCAAGGAAUUUUCCGCAAUGGGCGCAAGCCUGACGGAGCGACGCCGCGUGGGGGAUGACGCAUUUCGGUGUGUAAACCCCUUUUCUGGGGGAAGAAGUAAGUGACGGUACCCCAGGAAGAAGGACCGGCUAACUACGUGCCAGCAGCCGCGGUAAGACGUAGGGUCCGAGCGUUGUCCGGAGUUACUGGGCGUAAAGGGCGCGUAGGCGGUUUCUUACGUUCCACGUGAAAGCCCCUGGCUCAACCAGGGAGGGUCGUGGGAAACGGGGAAACUGGAGGCAGCGAGAGGCUGGUGGAAUUCCCGGAGUAGUGGCGAAAUGCGUAGAGAUCGGGAGGAACACCGGUGGCGAAGGCGGCCAGCUGGCGCUGACCUGACGCUGAGGCGCGAAGGCGUGGGGAGCGAACGGGAUUAGAUACCCCGGUAGUCCACGCAGUAAACGAUGUGGACGAGGUGUGGGGGGAGUUGACCCCCUCCGUGCCGGCGCUAACGCAGUAAGUCCACCGCCUGGGGAGUACGGCCGCAAGGCUAAAACUCAAAGGAAUUGACGGGGGCCCGCACAAGCAGCGGAGCGUGUGGUUUAAUUCGACGCAACGCGCAGAACCUUACCAGGGUUUGACAUCCUCGGAAUCUGCCUGAAAGGGUGGAGUGCCUUCGGGAGCCGGGAGACAGGUGCUGCAUGGCUGUCGUCAGCUCGUGUCGUGAGAUGUUGGGUUAAGUCCCGCAACGAGCGCAACCCUCGUGGCUAGUUACGGAUGAUGUCUAGCCAGACUGCCGGGCACAACCCGGAGGAAGGGGGGGAUGAUGUCAAGUCAGCAUGGCCCUUACACCCUGGGCGACACACACGCUACAAUGGCCGGGACAGCGGGCAGCCAAGCGGCAACGCGGAGCCAAUCCCUGUAAACCCGGUCUCAGUUCGGAUUGUGGGCUGCAACUCGCCCGCAUGAAGUCGGAGUUGCUAGUAACCGCGGGUCAGCCAUACCGCGGUGAAUAUGUUCCCGGGCCUUGCACUCACCGC
rnacentral:rRNA from 1 species